rnacentral:rRNA from 1 species
GAUGAACGCUGGCGGCGUGCCUAAUACAUGCAAGUCGAGCGAACAGACGAGGAGCUUGCUCCUCUGAUGUUAGCGGCGGACGGGUGAGUAACACGUGGAUAACCUACCUAUAAGACUGGGAUAACUUCGGGAAACCGGAGCUAAUACCGGAUAACAUGUUGAACCGCAUGGUUCAACAGUGAAAGACGGUUUUGCUGUCACUUAUAGAUGGAUCCGCGCCGCAUUAGCUAGUUGGUAAGGUAACGGCUUACCAAGGCAACGAUGCGUAGCCGACCUGAGAGGGUGAUCGGCCACACUGGAACUGAGACACGGUCCAGACUCCUACGGGAGGCAGCAGUAGGGAAUCUUACGCAAUGGGCGAAAGCCUGACGGAGCAACGCCGCGUGAGUGAAGAAGGUCUUCGGAUCGUAAAACUCUGUUAUUAGGGAAGAACAAAUGUGUAAGUAACUAUGCACGUCUUGACGGUACCUAAUCAGAAAGCCACGGCUAACUACGUG